ensembl:lncRNA
AUUUGGCAGCCGGUACAAAUUUGGCAUGACACCCCUCUCUGUCCACCGGAGGGACCUAGUCUGCCUUGCGUGCGUCAAGUCUUGUAGAUACUCCUACCCUGACUUACAUUUGUCACUCUAUAUGCAAAACUGAACCACACCUUAUUAAGGGUUAGCUCUGUUUGUCGCCAAAGUGAAAGAAACUGGAAUCUUUGCAAUGGCAAUUUAAGACCACAGGAGAGAAGCCUUUCAUAUGUGAGGCCUGUUGGAAGUGCUUCGCGUCCAAGGAGUACUUGAGGCGCCACUCCAACAUCCACACCGGCUCCAGGACCUACAAGUGUCAGCAGUGUGUGAGCUCCAGACCCUCGGCUCCAUGUAUAUAGAGAGGAGCUGCAUGGCAGAUGCUCUGCUCUCGCCACACUGCUCUCUGUUCUGCUCUCGGCUCCACGCUCUGCUCUCGGCUCCACGCUCUGCUCUCGGCUCCACGCUCUGCUCUCGGAUCCACGCUCUGCUAUCGGCUCCACGCUCUGCUCUCGGCUCCACGCUCUGCUCUCAGCUCCACGCUCUGCUCUCGGCUCCACGCUCUGCUAUCGGCUCCACGCUCUGCUCUCGGCCCCAUGCUGAUCGUUGUCUGCUGUGGCCUGCUGUCGCCAGCUGCCUGGUUGUAUCGCUGCCGUCAACUGCUUAGCAGUUCUGUUUUGUCAUUACUUAUUUUGGGUUGAGCCAGGAAGCCGUGUAGGGGAGGCCUGCCGUUUGUUCCCCCUUCUUCUCCUGUUUUCAUCGAGGCUAGGGAGGAUGAGCAAACGUAUUUGUACCUUUUUAGAAAGAUCCUUUUUUUUUUGUUUCAAGCCAGAGAUAGCUUUUGUUGGCCU